GACGAACGCUGGCGGCGUGCUUAACACAUGCAAGUGGAGCGACGAACCAGGGCUUGCCCUGGGGCAGAGCCGCGAACGGGUGAGUAACACGUGGGUAACCUACCCCGAUGACCGGGACAACCCGAGGAAACUCGGGCUAAUACCGGAUGUUCUCGCUUCUCGUAAGGGAAGCGAGCAAAGAUAGCUUCGGCCUUCGCAUCGGGACGGGCCCGCGGCCCAUUAGCUUGUUGGUGGGGUAACGGCCUACCAAGGCUGCGAUGGGUAGCUGGUCUGAGAGGACGAUCAGCCACACUGGGACUGAGACACGGCCCAGACUCCUACGGGAGGCAGCAGUGGGGAAUCUUGCGCAAUGCGCGAAAGCGUGACGCAGCAACGCCGCGUGGGGGAAGAAGGCCUUCGGGUUGUAAACCCCUUUCAGUUGGGACGAAGCGUGCGAGUGACGGUACCUACAGAAGAAGCACCGGCCAACUACGUGCCAGCAGCCGCCG
rnacentral:rRNA from 1 species